AUUGAACGCUGGCGGCAGGCCUAACACAUGCAAGUCGAGCGAGCGGCGGACGGGUGAGUAAUGUAUGGGAAUCUGCCUGAUGGAGGGGGAUAACUACUGGAAACGGUAGCUAAUACCGCAUACCAUCAGAUGAACCCAUAUGGGAUUAGCUAGUAGGUGAGGUAACGGCUCACCUAGGCGACGGUCCCUAGCUGGCCUGAGAGGAUGAUCGGCCAACCUGGAACUGGGACACGGCCAAGCAUCUUACGGGAGGCAGCAGUGGGGAAUAUUGCACAAUGGGCGCAAGCUGGAUGCAGCCAGGCCGCGGGUAUGAAGAAGGCUUUCGGGUGGUAAAGUACUUUCAGUCGGGAGGCGUUACCGACAGAAGAAGCACCGGCUAACUCCGUGCCAGCAGCCGCGGUAAUUC
rnacentral:rRNA from 1 species